CAGAGAAUAGUUUAAUUAAAAUUUUAAUUUUGGAGAUUAAAGAUAAAGAAAUUUCUUUUUCUCUGA
rnacentral:tRNA from 1 species